CCGGGUGAGUAACACGUAUCCAACCUGCCGUCUACUCUUGGACAGCCUUCUGAAAGGAAGAUUAAUACAAGAUGGCAUCAUGAGUCCGCAUGUUCACAUGAUUAAAGGUAUUCCGGUAGACGAUGGGGAUGCGUUCCAUUAGAUAGUAGGCGGGGUAACGGCCCACCUAGUCUUCGAUGGAUAGGGGUUCUGAGAGGAAGGUCCCCCACAUUGGAACUGAGACGCGGUCCAA
rnacentral:rRNA from 1 species